CGCUGGCGGCGUGCCUAAUACAUGCAAGUCGAGCGAACAGAUGAGGAGCUUGCUCCUCUGACGUUAGCGGCGGACGGGUGAGUAACACGUGGAUAACCUACCUAUAAGACUGGGAUAACUUCGGGAAACCGGAGCUAAUACCGGAUAAUAUAUUGAACCGCAUGGUUCAAUAGUGAAAGACGGUUUUGCUGUCACUUAUAGAUGGAUCCGCGCCGCAUUAGCUAGUUGGUAAGGUAACGGCUUACCAAGGCAACGAUGCGUAGCCGACCUGAGAGGGUGAUCGGCCACACUGGAACUGAGACACGGUCCAGACUCCUACGGGAGGCAGCAGUAGGGAAUCUUCCGCAAUGGGCGAAAGCUUGACGGAGCAACGCCGCGUGAGUGAUGAAGGUCUUAGGAUCGUAAAACUCUGUUAUUAGGGAAGAACAAAUGUGUAAGUAACUAUGCACGUCUUGACGGUACCUAAUCAGAAAGCCACGGCUAACUACGUG
rnacentral:rRNA from 1 species